UGUGGGAGCUGGCUUGCCUGCGAUAGCAGUGGAACAGUCAGCUCAUGUGGCGCCUGACACACUGCCAUCGCAGGCAAGCCAGCUCCCACA
rnacentral:misc_RNA from 1 species